GUCAAGUUUACCCAAAUUGAAUUAAGAAAAAUAUAUUUUCUAUAAAUUUAAGUAUAAAAAGUUUAUUAAAUGAUCAAUUAUGCAAAAUGGAAACAGUGGAUUGAGGAUCGUUUAUUAUGGAGGUGGGGGAAGCGCUACAUGUUCAUCCACGCUGGCAAUAAAAAACAAAUCAAAUUUCAGUUGAGUUUUUCCCAAAAGGAACUGGGCACAGCGCACGGCAGGAGUGCAAUUGCAGGCAAUUGUGGUGCCAAGUAGAAGAUGGAAGAACGGAAGGUGGCGGCUGGCAAUUGGAAGAUGCUGUUGACGCGCUUCCCACACGCCCGUGAAACCCACAACACGAUCAGGCGAGACCCAUCGGGACAACAGCCACAGCCACAGCAACAAGGUGAUCAUGUGGCGCUACAACGGAUCCCUCGUCAUGUUGCCAAGCAUUGCCAAAAAGUCAGUCAGUCAAUUUCCAGGUUCUUCCACUCGUUCUCUGGAUCCAAGCACCUAGGCUGGCGCUCGCGAAAUAAACGAUUAUCAUCCAUUAUGAGCUGUUUUUCCCCCUGUAGUGCCUGGACAGAGGCAGAGGCAGCUGCUGUCCAUAUAGUUUGGCUGUGUGUAGUCGUAUUCUUAUAAAAAUGUUUGUUUUACUA